rnacentral:rRNA from 1 species
AACGAACGCUGGCGGCGUGCCUAACACAUGCAAGUCGAACGAGAAAGGGGCUUCGGCUCCGAGUAAAGUGGCGCACGGGUGAGUAACACGUGGGUAACCUGCCUCUAAGAUUGGGAUAACUCGUCGAAAGAUGAGCUAAUACCGAAUAAGACCACAGUUCCCGCGGGAACAGGGGUCAAAGGUAGCCUCUGCUUGCAAGCUAUCACUUAGAGAUGGGCCUGCGCACCAUUAGCUAGUUGGUAGGGUAACGGCCUACCAAGGCAAAGAUGGUUAGCUGGUCUGAGAGGAUGAUAACCCAAAGUGGAACUGAAACCCGGCCCAGCCUCCUACGGGGGGCAGCAGUGGGGAAUAUUGCGAAAGGGGCGAAAGCUUGACGCAGCAACGCCGGGGGGGUGAUGAAGGCCUUGGGGUCGUAAAGCCCUGUCGGGGGGAACGAAUGCUCCGGGGGUUAAAAGCCUCGGGAGGGGAGGGUACCUUCAAAGGAAGCACCGGCUAACUCUGU